rnacentral:rRNA from 1 species
AGGGUUUGAUCAUGGCUCAGAUUGAACGCUGGCGGCAGGCCUAACACAUGCAAGUCGAGCGGUAACAGAGAGUAGCUUGCUACUUUGCUGACGAGCGGCGGACGGGUGAGUAAUGCUUGGGAAUAUGCCUUUUGGUGGGGGACAACAGUUGGAAACGACUGCUAAUACCGCAUGAUGUCUACGGACCAAAGUGGGGGACCUUCGGGCCUCACGCCAAGAGAUUAGCCCAAGUGGGAUUAGCUAGUUGGUAAGGUAAUGGCUUACCAAGGCAACGAUCCCUAGCUGGUUUGAGAGGAUGAUCAGCCACACUGGGACUGAGACACGGCCCAGACUCCUACGGGAGGCAGCAGUGGGGAAUAUUGCACAAUGGGCGCAAGCCUGAUGCAGCCAUGCCGCGUGUGUGAAGAAGGCCUUCGGGUUGUAAAGCACUUUCAGUAAGGAGGAAAGGUUAAGUUUUAAUAGAGCUUAGCUGUGACGUUACUUACAGAAGAAGCACCGGCUAACUCCGUGCCAGCCGCCGCGGUAAUAC